rnacentral:rRNA from 1 species
UAGUCCACGCCGUAAACGAUGGUUACUAGCUGUUUGGACUUCGGUCUGAGUGGCUAAGCGAAAGUGAUAAGUAACCCACCUGGGGAGUACGUUCGCAAGAAUGAAACUCAAAGGAAUUGGCGGGGGCCCGCACAAGCGGUGGAGCAUGUGGUUUAAUUCGAUGAUACGCGAGGAACCUUACCAGGGCUUAAAUGUAGAUUGACAGGACUAGAGAUAGUUUUUCCUUCGGGCAAUUUACAAGGUGCUGCAUGGUUGUCGUCAGCUCAUGCCGUGAGGUGUCAGGUUAAGUCCUAUAACGAGCGCAACCCCUGUUGUUAGUUGCCAGCGAGUAGUGUCGGGAACUCUAACAAGACUGCCAGUGCAAACUGUGAGGAAGGUGGGGAUGACGUCAAAUCAUCACGGCCCUUACGUCCUGGGCCACACACGUGCUACAAUGGUAGGGACAGAGAGCAGCCACAAUGUGAAUUGGAGCGAAUCUAUAAACCCUAUCUCAGUUCGGAUCGGAGU